ACCACUUUUCUGAUGGCUUCUCCCUUCAUGGGUAGGUGCUCCUACCCCAUUGUGCUUUGAAAAACUGAAGCUGACAUAGUGAGGUGACACUUUUACAGCACACUGUCGUAUAAGACAACGUGAGCAGAGCCCGUGACUGAAGGGCACCUGCCAGGGGCUGGGUAAGUCUUCGUCUACCAUGGCCUCCUUACCCAAAUCACCAUAUUUUGCUCCAUUUUUUGUGCCCAACUACAGAAAAGACACACAUUUUUCCUAAAUAUGCAAAAGACAAACUUCUUCUGAGUGACUAUGCACAGAAUCUGUAAGACAUAGAUGUUUGGAGAAGGGGGUCCCAUGCCUGUUCAUUCUUGGGCUCAUAUAAAGCAGAUCAUAGGCGAACAGUGGCAUUCACUGCCACGGAGCUUUUGUCACAGCAGCAUUUAGGGAGCUGAACAAAUGUUGAGAAAUCCAAAUGCAUUCACAUGGAAUCAUACAACAUUUCAGAAAAUGAGAGAAAACCAUUCCAGUGAAGGUAAGUGAAAUGUCUUACUAACACCAGUCACCCAGAUGAGCCUUAAGCCUUUUCCAUAAUAGACCUCACUAGCACCUUUAUACUCUACCUUAAAGUUGGAAAAGGCUUGAGAGAGCUUCUGCUAUUGUUAUGCAAGAUCUUGCAGCAAUUGAAGGAUGCCAUCAGAGACAGAAGCCCCACUCAGAGCUCUACACCAAGAAGAGAAGACCAUGGAACCAGAUGUGACAUGAUCAGAGGUUUUAACUGCCCUCCAGCUCAGAGCUGUGAAAUGGCCGAGGGAGAGCAGGAUGAAGCUCACAGCUCAGAAUCCAUGUGUGACCAGAAGCUCACAAGCAUCAGCCUGCUAAUGUAGGGUGGCUGUUCCCCCACAAAGCACAACUAUCCCACCAAAGAAUCUUCUAGGAGCUGCAGCUGAUGUGCUCAAGAUAAAGGCACGAUUUGCUCAAGGUGCAUGUGACAUCCUAUAGUUUUUCUUUUUCUGCUACCCUGGCACCCAAGUGGUGGCGUCAUAUCCACAGAGCACUCUAGCAUUCCUUCCUUUGGGGGUCACCAUGACACCCAGGGGUCCCUAUACUGUGCCAGGCUAUGGCAAAGUGAGCCCAGGAGGCACUUUUCACUUGGGGGAUUUCUGUUUGCUGGAAAGUUACCAAGACAGCCUUGCUAGAACCAAGACACACAUCCAUGGGGGCCUGGGCUAGGGACAACACUGAGUGGCCCGCACCACCACUGCUCACAACCACGUCUCCACUCUGAAGACCCAGGGCAGCCACCUGGGUAGACAGUCUGGCCCAUGCUCUUCCCUUAAGGCUACAUCCCUGUGGCAGCCAAUAGGCUCUCAGAGACCACCCCAUUCCUUCCUCAGUCAGACCCAGACUUGCAGAACCCCACAGAGCACACAGGCCAGGACG
rnacentral:lncRNA from 1 species